UACGUAGGGGGCAAGCGUUGUCCGGAAUCAUUGGGCGUAAAGAGCGUGUAGGUGGCUCGGUAAGUCCGCUGUGAAAGUCCAGGGCUCAACCCUGGAAAGCCGGUGGAAACUGUCGAGCUCGAGUCCGGAAGAGGCGAGUGGAAUCCUGGUGUAGCGGUGAAAUGCGCAGAUAUCAGGAGGAACACCAAUGGCGAAGGCAGCUCGCUGGGACGGUACUGACACUGAGGAGCGAAAGCGUGGGGAGCGAACAGG
rnacentral:rRNA from 1 species